rnacentral:sRNA from 1 species
AAGUUGAUUUGGAAAAUGAAGCCAGUUUUUGUCAUUUUGUUUUUGACAUGCAUUGCGUUCACAUAUGCAGAAAGCUAUGAGGAUGUGAAAGAAGAAAUUAAAAAUGAAGUUGAAAGAGAAAUAUUUGAAGAUCUUGAAGAGGAAAGUGACGUAUUAGAUAGUAACGUUAGAGAGUUCAAUGAUGCAAAGCCAUGGAGAUUUCGUAGAGCUAUUCAAAGAGUACGAUGGAGAAAAGUUGCUCCUUACAUGCCAUUUGUUGUUAAGACGGUUGGUAAAAAGUAAUGAAAACAACUAAAAUAAAUCUUUUUUUUACAUGAGCUUUAAUAUAACUC